CCUACGUGAGGCAGCAGUGAGGCAUAUUGGUCAAUGGGCGCGAGCCUGAACCAGCCAAGUAGCGUGAAGGAUGACUGCCCUACGGGUUGUAAACUUCUUUUAUAAAGGAAUAAAGUGAGGCACGUGUGCCUUUUUGUAUGUACUUUAUGAAUAAGGAUCGGCUAACUCCGUGCCAGCAGCCGCGGUAAUACGGCGGAUCCGAGCGUUAUCCGGAUUUAUUGGGUUUAAAGGGAGCGUAGAUGGGUUGUUAAGUCAGUUGUGAAAGUUUGCGGCUCAACCGUAAAAUUGCAAUUGAUACUGGCAGUCUUGAGUACAGUUGAGGUAGGCGGAAUUCGUGGUGUAGCGGUGAAAUGCUUAGAUAUCACGAAGAACUCCGAUUGCGAAGGCAGCUUACUAAACUGCCACUGACAUUGAUGCUCGAAAGUGUGGGUAUCAAACAGGAUUAGAUACCCCAGUAGUC
rnacentral:rRNA from 1 species